ensembl:lncRNA
AUGGAAUCCUGAUGGUGUCCCGAUGACGUCCUGAUGGCGUCCUGUUGGUCUGCAGACAAGGAGAAGAGACGUGAGGAGGAUCAUCAGGAUGUGUCUGUGUGUACAUCUAAUUGUUAGUGUGUCUGUGUGUACAUCUAAUUGUUAGUGUGUCCGUGUGUACAUCUAAUUGUUAGUCUGUCUGUGUGUAGAUCUAAUUGUUAGUGUGUCUGUGUGUACAUCUAAUUGUUAUUGUGUCUUUGUGUACAUCUAAAUAUUAGUGUGUGUCUUUGUUUAGAACCAAAUGUUAGUGUGUCUAUCUAAUUGUUAGUGUGUCUGUGUGUACAUCUAAAUAUUAAUGUGUCUUUGUGUACAUCUAAAUGUUAGUGUGUGUCUUUGUUUAGAACCAAAUGUUAGUGUGUCUGUGUGUACAUCUAAUUUGUGUGUCUUUGUGUACAUCUAAAUAUUAGUGUGUGUCAUUGUUUAGAACCAAAUGAUAGUGUGUCUGUGUGUAGAUCUCAUUGUUAGUGUGUCUGUGUGUACAUCUAAUUGUUAUUGUGUCUUUGUGUACAUCUAAAUGUUAGUGUGUGUCUUUGUUUAGAACCAAAUGAUAGUGUGUCUGUGUGUACAUCUAAUUGUUAGUGUGUCUGUGUGUACAUCUAAAUAUUAAUGUGUCUUUGUGUACAUCUAAAUGUUAGUGUGUGUCAUUGUUUAGAACCAAAUGUUAGUGUGUCUGUGUGUACAUCUGUGUGUGUGUGUGUGUAUGUGUGUCAUGCGUAGAUCUGGAUUUGCUCCUGAGGGGUUGACGUGACGUCCUGAUGGCGUCCCGUUGACGUGGCGUCCUGAUGGUGUCCUGAUGGCGUCCCGUUGACGUGGCGUCCUGAUGGCGUCCAGUUGGUCUACAGACAAGGAGAAGAGACGUGAGGAGGAUCAUCAGGAUGUGAGACAAGAUUCAU